CAAGGAGCUGAAGGAGUCUGCAAA
rnacentral:piRNA from 1 species